rnacentral:rRNA from 1 species
UACGGGGGGGGCAAGCGUUGUCCGGAUUUACUGGGCGUAAAGAGCGCGCAGGCGGUCGAUCAAGUCGCGUGUGAAAGCCCCCGGCUCAACUGGGGAGGGUCACGCGAUACUGAUCGACUGGAAGGCAGGAGAGGGAUGUGGAAUUCCAGGUGUAGCGGUGAAAUGCGUAGAUAUCGAGAGGAACACCUGCGGCGAAGGCGGGUUGCUGGGCUGAUACUGACGCUGAGGCGCGAAAGCCAGGGGAGCGAACGGG